rnacentral:rRNA from 1 species
AUGGGUAUAUCAGGUGCUGUGGAAUGGUGGGAGGAGUGGCAUCUGCGCAUCCUCGUCCUCAGCAGCCUCUUCAUCCAGUACCUCCUGCUCUGCUCCGCUCCCUUGCGUAAGUUUGCUAUUCCUUCCUGGUACAGAUCCAUCAUAUGGCUCGCAUACCAAGGCAGCGAUGCUGUCGCCAUAUACGCCCUGGCCACCCUCUUUAACCGCCAGAGGAGUCAGGAUCAUGGUAGCGGUACUUCUGCAAACAACAGUAGCAUCCUGGAGGUGGUGUGGGCACCGGUUCUCCUGAUGCACCUCGGAGGGCAGGACCUCAUAACCGCCUACAAUAUCGAAGACAAUGAGCUGUGGACGCGGCACAUCCUCACAGCUGUGUCCCAGGUCACUGUAGCUAUCUAUAUGUUCUGCAAAUCGUGGCCAGGAGGCGACAAGAGGUUGUUGCAGGCAUCAAUCUUGUUCUUCGUCCCUGGGAUUCUCAAAUGCAUUGAGAAGCCCUGGGCUCUCAAGAGUGCUAGCAUUAACAGCCUAGUAAGCUCUUCCUGUCAUGCUCCGAGGAGAACUGCCACCAGAGAAGGCGAGAUCAAUUCGCUUGAAGACUACGUGCAAAAAGCAAGGGCUUUUGCCCAGACCGACCCUGGUUUCCAAGCACAAGAAGGUGAUGCGGUCAACCAUGGGGCUGACAAUUAUCUUUCUCAAUCACAAGGAGAAGAUAUUGUGGUGGACCUUGAGGCCAACCAUGGAUCUCAAACACAGGGAGUGGCUGCCACGGUGGAUCUUGAGCCCGAUCAUCAUCCUCAGACCUCAAGGACAUGGAUAGGUCGCCUAAACCAAAUAAAGGAAAAAAUGGGAAGCCACAUAAACCAAAUAAUGGAGAAAAGGAGAAGCCACCUAAACCAAAGAGAGCCAAGAUUGAGAAGGCGAGAUAAUGACUAUAAUGGGGACCCUGAGACCUACAGGAUAUUUGUGGACCUUGCAUCGCCGUAUCCUGAUCGGCUUGUGAUCCUAAAAUCCUUUUGGGUGCUUGAUGGAAAACAAGCAUACAUUUUAUUGCAGAAUAGAUUGUUCAGCAUUUUCAAUCUUCUCUACACAAAAUCAAAGAUACUCGGCAGUUUUAAAGAAGAGGAAGACCCGAGCGGGUUGGAACUUCUUUCUCUGUACAUACGGUUAUCGGCUAGUUUAUUGCCAUGGGCAGCCAUAGGCCUAUUCCACAAGAGUCACAGAGAAGCUUAUGAUGAUAAUGAUGUCAAGGUUACAUAUGCCUUGUUCUGCUGUACUGCAGUGCUAGAGUACUGUUCCUGUGCUUCCUUUGCCUUUGCGAAAUUUACUUUUCUAAAGGUAUUUCUCAAUGCCAUACUCAAAGUCAAAGAUAGCCUCAUAGGCCAAUUUAAUCUGGUAGGAUUCUUUGCUCGUAACAGAAGGCACUCCAGGAAGAUGUGCAUCGUUAAUUUCUUUAACUGCAAAGACUUUCUUGACCAAAAUUGGUCCAUGAAGCCCUGCAAGUUAUCCUUUGCAAUUCUAGAUUUGGUUCUUAAGUAUGUGAAGAAGGGGUGGGAAGAUCAAAUAAAAGAUACUGACAGCUACUGGAAGUUCAACGAUUGCAGGGGGCAAUGGACUCUUCAGUCCAACAAUUGCGACAAAGAUCUCAGUUGCAGCUUAAGGAAGCCAUUCGAUGAGAGUGUUCUUCUCUGGCACAUCGCAACGGAUCUCUGCUUCUACUACAUGGGCGCAUCUGCGUAUCACCAAUGUGCCACUGCUCAGUGUAUUCAAGAUGCUUCCGGUGAGGGUCAUGGGUGUGCUGUUUGGUGUGAAAGAUCUCCUCAUCACAAAAGAGCCGUCCAGUGCAGAGAAAUCUCCAACUACAUGAUGUACCUACUGUUUGUCAAUCCCGAGAUGCUACUGCCAGGCACUAGGCGAAAUCUGUUCACAGCUGCCAAUUCUGAGCUAAAGAAGAUCCUCAAGGAUGACAAUGCAUCACUCAAGAAAAUUGUCAAGGGCGGCAAGCCUUCGCUCAUGGAGAUCCUCAAGUGCAAUAAACCAUUCUGCAACUUCUUCACAGUCAAAAGGCCAUCGCUCAAGGAAAUCGAAAGAGGAUUUACACAGAGAAUAAUCGCGAAGGUACAGCCCAGGGAAAACAGAGAACAAGUUGUUGAACAUACAGACUUGCCACUGGAUGCGGAGACAGAUGCAACUACACAAGAAGGUUUUGUCCAUGAUGCAUGGAAUCUUGCCAAUGGGCUGCUGCAAAUGCGUGAUGAGAAGAUGUGGGAGGUAAUCGAAGGCGUGUGGGUGGAGAUGCUCUGCUUCUCGGCUAGUAGGUGCCGAGGGUACCUACAUGCCAAGAGUUUGGGCACUGGUGGGGAGCUGCUCACGUAUAUCUGUCUCCUGUUGUCACACAUGGGGAUGGAGACCUUACCGGAGAGGUUGCAGAGGACGGAACUUUCAAGUGGAGGAAAUGCCAGGGUCACUCCAUUGACUUCCCAGGUACCUGGGAGCGAGGACCCGCCACCCUUGAGACAUUAG